rnacentral:rRNA from 1 species
UACGGGGGGGGCAAGCGUUGUUCGGAAUUACUGGGCGUAAAGGGCUCGUAGGCGGCCAACUAAGUCAGACGUGAAAUCCCUCGGCUUAACCGGGGAACUGCGUCUGAUACUGGAUGGCUUGAAUCCGGGAGAGGGAUGCGGAAUUCCAGGUGUAGCGGUGAAAUGCGCAGAUAUCAGGAGGAACACCGGUGGCGAAGGCGGAUCUCUGGCCUGUUCUUGACGCUGAGGCGCGAAAGCUAGGGGAGCAAACGGG